ensembl:snRNA U6 U6 spliceosomal RNA
AUACGCUAUUUAUUGUGCUCAUUUCAGCUAAAAUUGGAAUGAUACAGAGAUUAGCAUGGCUGCUACUCAAAGAUGACAUGCAAAGUUGUGAAGUGUUCCAUGUUUUU